CCCGAUGAAAAAACUCCAUAAGAUUUUUGGUAAAGUCCAACUUAUAUCAUAUAUUUUUUUUGUGUCUUCUUUGAAAGCAAAAAUUGAACCCAUUACAACUAAAUAAAAAUUGAUUGUUCUUUACUUGAAUCAGAAAGAUAUUGUUCUUAAUCUUUUCUGAAUCAGUUUUGGUUUUCUUUGGGUGAAUAGCAGCAUCAACAUUCGUUUUGGAUUGAGCUUGGAUUUUGCUUUAAUCACCUAAUUUAUAUUGUUGUUGUAUAUUUGGUGAUAUUACACUCUCUGUAAGCUGACCAAACUAGGUUUGGCAGCUAGUGCUAGAGAGGAACGAAGAGAAGGGAAAAACAAUAACCUCCAAUUUGAUUUUGUGCUCUUCUUAGCUAGAUUUGGGGACAAAAAUCGUAUACCUGCUUUAGAGAGUUAUUUAAUCAUUGCAUUUAGUUGAUGGUGGAAUUUAAUUCGUGAUAGAGUGAUUGCUGAAACAAAGAAAGCUGUCGGUGUAGUGAUAGGAAAGUGUUAAAGUGUGCAAAAUAAGUGCAAAUAGCUAAAUAUUUAAAAUCAAAAAUAUAAAAAUUAAAAC